AUUCCAGCUCCAAUAGCGUAUACUAAAGUUGUUGCAGUUAAAAAGCUCGUAGUUGGAUUUCUAAUCUCUCUUGGGGCUCCUUUUCUAAAGAAAUGUGCGACCAUUCAAGAGAGAUUAUCCUCGCGCCUAGCCUUUCUCACUUUCAUUAGUCAGGAAGGGGACGCACGUCAUUUACUGUGAGCAAAAUAGAGUGUUCAAAGCAGGCUUAGGCCAUGAAUAUAUUAGCAUGGAAUAAUAAGAUAGGACCUUGGUCUAUUUUGUUGGUUUACAUUCCAAGGUAAUGAUUAAUAGGGAUAGUUGGGGGUAUUCGUAUUCAAUUGUCAGAGGUGAAAUUCUUGGAUUUAUGGAAGACGAACUACUGCGAAAGCAUUUACCAAGGAUGUUUUCAUUG
rnacentral:rRNA from 1 species